rnacentral:rRNA from 1 species
UGGGGAAUUUUGGACAAUGGGCGAAAGCCUGAUCCAGCAAUGCCGCGUGUGUGAAGAAGGCCUUCGGGUUGUAAAGCACUUUUGUCCGGAAAGAAAUCCUUGGCUCUAAUACAGUCGGGGGAUGACGGUACCGGAAGAAUAAGCACCGGCUAACUACGUGCCAGCAGCCGCGGUAAUACGUAGGGUGCAAGCGUUAAUCGGAAUUACUGGGCGUAAAGCGUGCGCAGGCGGUUUGCUAAGACCGAUGUGAAAUCCCCGGGCUCAACCUGGGAACUGCAUUGGUGACUGGCAGGCUAGAGUAUGGCAGAGGGGGGUAGAAUUCCACGUGUAGCAGUGAAAUGCGUAGAGAUGUGGAGGAAUACCGAUGGCGAAGGCAGCCCCCUGGGCCAAUACUGACGCUCAUGCACGAAAGCGUGGGGAGCAAAACAGGAUUAGAUACCCUGGUAGUCCACGCCCUAAACGAUGUCAACUAGUUGUUGGGGAUUCAUUUCCUUAGUAACGUAGCUAACGCGUAAAGUUGACCGCCUGGGGAGUACGGUCGC